UACGUAGGGGGCAAGCGUUGUCCGGAUUUAUUGGGCGUAAAGAGCUCGUAGGCGGUUCAGCAAGUCGGGUGUGAAAAAUCUGGGCUUAACCCAGUGGAGCACCCCGAUACUGCUGUGACUAGAGUCCGGUAGGGGAGUGUGGAAUUCCUGGUGUAGCGGUGAAAUGCGCAGAUAUCAGGAGGAACACCAACGGCGAAGGCAGCACUCUGGGCCGGUACUGACGCUGAGGAGCGAGAGCGUGGGGAGCAAACCGG
rnacentral:rRNA from 1 species